ensembl:lncRNA
ACCCCACAGAGACCACACAGAGGCCCCAUAGAGACCCACAGUGCCCCACAGAGAACCCGUAGAGAUCCCGAAACCCCACAGUGCGCUAUAGAGGCCCCAUAGAGACCCACAGUGCCCCAUAGAGACCCCAUAGAGAUCCCAAAACCCCACAAGACCCCAUAAAGACCCCAUAGAGGCCCCCUAGAGACCCACAGUGCCCCAUAGAGACCUUAUAGAGACCCCCAAACACCACAGUGCCCCAUAGAGACCCAGAGACCCCAUAGAGACCCCAAAACCCCACAGAGACCACACAGAGGCCCCAUAGAGACCCAGAGUGCCCCAUAGAGACCCCAUAGAGAUCCCGAAAUCCCACAGUGCCCCACAGAAACCCCAUAGAGAUCCCACAGAGACCCACAGUGCCCCAUAGAGACCCCCAAACCCCACAGAGACUCCAUAGAGACCCAAAGUGCCCCAUAGAGACCCCAUAGAGCCCCCCAAACCCCACAGUGCCCCAUAGAGACCCACAGUGCCCCAUAGAGACCCACACUGCCCCAUAGAGCCCCAGAGACCCACACUGCCCCAUAGGGACCCAUAGAGACCCCAUAGAGACCCCCAAACCCCAGAAAGACCCCACAGAGCCCCCAUAGAGACUCAUAGAGACCCACAGUGCCCCAUAGAGACCCCACAGAGGCCCCAUAGAGACCCUCAGUGCCCCAUAGAGACCCCAUAAAGACCCCUAAACCCCACAAAGACCCCACAGAGCCCCCAUAGAGACCCACAGUGCCCCAUAGAGCCCCACAGAGCCCCACAGUGCCCCAUAGAGACCCCCAAACCCCACAGAGACACCACAGAGCCCCCAUAGAGACCCCCAAAACCCACAGUGCCCCAUAGAGACCCCAUAGAGACCCACAGUGCCCCAUAGAGACCCACAGUGUCCCAUAGAGCCCCAUAGAGACCCACAGUGCCCCAUAGAGACCCCAUAGAGACCCACAUGCCCCAUAGAGACCCACACUGCCCCAUAGAGCCCCAUAGAGACCCACAGUGCCCCAUAGAGACCCCGAAACCCCAUAGAGACUCCACAGAGCCCCCAUAGAGCCCCAUAGAGACCCACAGUGUCCCAUAGAGACCCCAUAGAGACCCCAUAGAUACCCACAGUGCCCCAUAGAGCCCCGCAAACCCCACAGAGACCCCAAAGAGACCCAAAGUGCCCCAUAGAGCCCCAUAGAGACCCACAGUGUCCCAUAGAGCCCCAUAGAGACCCACAGUGCCCCAUAGAGCCCCAUAGAGACCCCAUAGAGACCCACAGUGCCCCAUAGAGACCCCGAAACCCCAUAGAGACCCCACAGAGCCCCCAUAGAGACCCCAUAGAGACCCAAAGUGCCCCAUAGAGCCCCAUAGAGACCCACAGUGUCCCAUAGAGCCCCAUAGAGACCCACAGUGCCCCAUAGGGACCCAUAGAGACCCCAUAGAAACCCCCAAACCCCACAGAGACCCCACAGAGCCCCCAUAGAGACCCACAGUGCCCCAUAGAGACCCCCAAACCCCACAGAGACCCCAUAGAGACCCAAAGUGCCCCAUAGAAACCCCAUAGAGCCCCCCAAACCCCAAAGUGCCCCAUAGAGCCCCCAUAGAGACCCACAGUGCCCCAUAGAGCCCCAUAGAGACCCACAGUGCCCCAUAGAGACCCCAUAGAGACCCCACAGAGCCCCCAUAGAGACCCACAGAGCCCCAUAGAGACCCCAGAGACUCACAGUGCCCCAUAGAGACCCCCAAACCCCACAGAGACCCCAUACAGACCCCACAGUGCCCCAUAGAGACCCCAUAGAGCCCCCCAAACCCCACAGAGACCCCAUAGAGACCCAAAGUGCCCCAUAGAGACCCCAUAGAGA